UACAGAGGUCUCAAGCGUUGUUCGGAUUCAUUGGGCGUAAAGGGUGCGUAGGUGGCGCGCUAAGUCAGGUGUGAAAUCUCGGGGCUUAACUCCGAAACUGCAUUUGAUACUGGCGUGCUUGAGGACUGGAGAGGAGACUGGAAUUCAUGGUGUAGCAGUGAAAUGCGUAGAGAUCCGGAAGAACACCGGAGGCGAAGGCGGCUUGCUGGGCUUGGUCUGACGCUGAGGCGCGAAAGCGUGGGGAGCGAACAGG
rnacentral:rRNA from 1 species